rnacentral:lncRNA from 1 species
UGAAACGUUGUUGGACAGAAAGGACCUUUAUCGGACGCGGUAAUUGAUAAAAAUGAAAAAAAAAAACGUAAAUAUACAAACAUGAUUCACGAUUUCACAAGCGAGAUAACGCCGUUUUGUCGAUACUUGACUAGGUAGGGUAUUCGCUUAGUGUUGUUUGUCGCGAGUUUGUAUUACGUUACCUACACCUAGCCGGUCUGUCAACAUAGAGCGCGAUUUUUCUGUAGUCGGGUUUUUUGUUUGUAACUCACCUUGGAGAUUCGAUAUCCGGCACUUGUAGGAAGUUACUGCUCUUCUGUUUUGGUGUGGGAGAGAGUAAAGUUGGUGCUGGUCGCGCUAACAACUCCGCUACUGGUACUUGAGGUGAUCCGAAACCCGUCUGGAUUCCGUACAGCAUUUCUUGGAAUACUCUGUAUGAUGCAAAUGUACUGGAACACUCGGGUGAAGUCCUUGGCUAGCUGAUCGUAAUCUUCAAACUGGUCUCUCACCGAGUCCAGAAGUGGAGAUGAUGGGCGCAUGUGGCCGAUUGGUCGCCAUGAUCCUGAAGAUAAUAGAAGGUGUUAUGGCUGACGUGAAGAAAUGACAAGAUACAGCAACAUCAACACAGCUUACAUUAGAAGAAACUUGGGUCAUUGGUUGGAUUCUAUACUAUUAUGACUAACAACGCAAAUUAAUGUAGGUGCCUACGUUUAGGUUAAUAGCUAUGAUGAACGUACUCUACAGAUGGCAACAAGAAUGAAACAAAAGAAGCCAUCUCUUUUCUUUUAG